rnacentral:rRNA from 1 species
UGGGGAAUUUUGGACAAUGGGCGAAAGCCUGAUCCAGCAAUGCCGCGUGUGUGAAGAAGGCCUUCGGGUUGUAAAGCACUUUUGUCCGGAAAGAAAUCCUUGGCUCUAAUACAGUCGGGGGAUGACGGUACCGGAAGAAUAAGCACCGGCUAACUACGUGCCAGCAGCCGCGGUAAUACGUAGGGUGCAAGCGUUAAUCGGAAUUACUGGGCGUAAAGCGUGCGCAGGCGGUUUGCUAAGACCGAUGUGAAAUCCCCGGGCUCAACCUGGGGACUGCAUUGGUGACUGGCAGGCUAGAGUAUGGCAGAGGGGGGUAGAAUUCCACGUGUAGCAGUGAAAUGCGUAGAGAUGUGGAGGAAUACCGAUGGCGAAGGCAGCCCCCUGGGCCAAUACUGACGCUCAUGCACGAAAGCGUGGGGAGCAAACAGGAUUAGAUACCCUGGUAGUCCACGCCCUAAAACGAUGUCAACUAGUUGUUGGGGGAUUCAUUUCCUUAGUAACGUAGCUAACGCGUGAAGUUGACCGCCUGGGGAGUACGGUCGCAAGAUUAAAACUUAAAGGAAUUGACGGGGUCAUAGCUGUUUCCU